rfam:Myotis lucifugus cont2.10079, whole genome shotgun sequence.
GAGACACCCUUAUGGGGCAAGACUUGCUUCAGUGGGGCUUUGGUGCUCAGUGAGUCUGCCCCCUGAGUGUGUCCCU